UAUAGAGCGGUAAAGUUUUGCGAAGCCAGGGGGCGGGGCUACUUUAGUGACAGUCUGGUCUGGAAUGAUUGACAGGUCCUAUGGAGGAGGCAGCAGAGACUCUGCUCUCCUCGUUUGGAUUAAUUCUAAUAUAAUGACUGUUGGUUUAUUUAUCGGUGCAGCAGCAGAACAUUUUCCACAGACAGUUUUCCUGCCCGUUGGCUUGUUUUAACCAGUUUUCUACCUCCGGCUGAUUCUACCAGCAGACACUGAACGGACUCUGAUUGUUCGAGUGAAAGUAACAGUUCCUCCUGAAGGUCAGAGAUUGCAGCAUCUGAGGGCCUCUUCAAAAGAAGAUGUAGUUGAUGAAGGCGUUCUGGAGCAGGACCAGAAAGACCACGACCAAGCAGCCUUGAGAUCUUAGACAGCGUCUCCCUGAGGUCCCUCUCUAUCUCCCCACACAUCCACCAACCACUGGAACACAUCUCCAAAGUUCUGCCGGGCCAGCUCAGCUUCCCCUCAGAAGAAGUGGCGCCACCUGCCAGAUGAAGGAGCCUUUUGAGAGGCAGCUGGCAUCGUGAUUGGACUGUACUUUGGUCUGUUCCAAUCCAGCUUCAGUUCCAGAGACGGCAGGCGGGACGAGUCAACGGAGGCCGGGUGGACGAAGGCAUGCAGCUGAGUACAAUCCAGAAAGAGACAUACAUUGUAGAAUUGUAGUAAUUGUGGGCUGACUGAUUUACUGAUUAUCAGUAUUUUAUUUUUUACCGGUUUACGAUAAUAAAUAAAUUUAAAAAUGGC